rnacentral:rRNA from 1 species
ACGCUGGCGGCGUGCCUAAUACAUGCAAGUAGAACGCUGAAGCUUGGUGCUUGCACCGAGCGGAUGAGUUGCGAACGGGUGAGUAACGCGUAGGUAACCUGCCUCUUAGCGGGGGAUAACUAUUGGAAACGAUAGCUAAUACCGCAUAAAAGUCGACGUCGCAUGAUGUUGACUUGAAAGGUGCAAUUGCAUCACUAGAGAUGGACCUGCGUUGUAUUAGCUAGUUGGUGAGGUAACGGCUCACCAAGGCGACGAUACAUAGCCGACCUGAGAGGGUGAUCGGCCACACUGGACUGAGACACGGCCCAGACUCCUACGGGAGGCAGCAGUAGGGAAUCUUCGGCAAUGGGGGCAACCCUGACCGAGCAACGCCGCGUGAGUGAAGAAGGUUUUCGGAUCGUAAAGCUCUGUUGUAAGAGAAGAACGAGUGUGAGAGUGGAAAGUUCACACUGUGACGGUAACUUACCAGAAAGGGACGGCUAACUACGUGCCAGCAGCCGCGGUAAUACGUAGGUCCCGAGCGUUAUCCGGAUUUAUUGGGCGUAAAGCGAGCGCAGGCGGUUAGAUAAGUCUGAAGUUAAAGGCUGUGGCUUAACCAUAGUACGCUUUGGAAACUGUUUAACUUGAGUGCAGAAGGGGAGAGUGGAAUUCCAUGUGUAGCGGUGAAAUGCGUAGAUAUAUGGAGGAACACCGGUGGCGAAAGCGGCUCUCUGGUCUGUAACUGACGCUGAGGCUCGAAAGCGUGGGGAGCAAACAGGAUUAGAUACCCUGGUAGUCCACGCCGUAAACGAUGAGUGCUAGGUGUUGGGUCCUUUCCGGGACUCAGUGCCGCAGCUAACGCAUUAAGCACUCCGCCUGGGGAGUACGACCGCAAGGUUGAAACUCAAAGGAAUUGACGGGGGCCCGCA